UACGAAGGGGGGCUAGCGUUGUUCGGAUUUACUGGGCGUAAAGCGCACGUAGGCGGAUCGUUAAGUGAGGGGUGAAAUCCCAGGGCUCAACCCUGGAACUGCCUUUCAUACUGGCGAUCUAGAGUCCGGAAGAGGUGAGUGGAACUCCUAGUGUAGAGGUGGAAUUCGUAGAUAUUAGGAAGAACACCAGUGGCGAAGGCGGCUCACUGGUCCGGUACUGACGCUGAGGUGCGAAAGCGUGGGGAGCAAACAGG
rnacentral:rRNA from 1 species